CACGUAGGGGGCGAGCGUUGUCCGGAUUUAUUGGGCGUAAAGAGCUCGUAGGCGGCUCAGUAAGUCAGGUGUGAAAAACUCCAGGCUCAACCUGGAGACGCCACCUGAUACUGCUGUGGCUAGAGUCCGGUAGGGGGAGCAUGGAAUUCCUGGUGUAGCGGUGAAAUGCGCAGAUAUCAGGAGGAACACCAGUGGCGAAGGCGACUUUCUGGCCUAUAACUGACGCUGAGGCGACGAAAGCGUGGGGAGCAAACAGGG
rnacentral:rRNA from 1 species